GAUGAACGCUAGCGGCAGGCCUAAUACAUGCAAGACGAACGGUAACUGGAGUAGCAAUACUUCGGCUAGAGUGUCGUAAGGGUGCGUAACAAGUAUGCAAUCUGCCCUGUACAGGAGGAUAGCUCCCCGAAAGGGGAAUUAACACUCCAUAAGAUCGCACGAGGGCAUCCGAGAGCGAUUAAAACUAAGGUGGUACAGGAUGAGCAUGCUUCUGAUUAGUUAGUUGGUGGUGUAACGGACCACCAAGACGAUGAUCAGUAGGGGAACUGAGAGGUGGAUCCCCCACACUGGCACUGAGAUACGGGCAAGACUCCUACGGGAGGCAGCAGUAGGGAGUAGUGGUCAAUGGAUGCAAGUCUGAACCAGCCAUGCCGCGUGCAGGAAGAAGGCCUUCUGGGUUGUAAACUGCUUUUGUCAGGGGAUAAAAAGACCGUGCGCGGUUAAUUGAAGGUACCUGGCGAAUAAGCCACGGCUAACUACGUGCCAGCAGCCGCCGCAGUAA
rnacentral:rRNA from 1 species